CCUACGGGCGGCAGCAGUGAGGAAUAUUGGUCAAUGGGGGGAACCCUGAUCCAGCGACGCCGCGUGAGUGAAGAAGUAUCUCGGUGUGUAAAGCUCUAUCAGCAGGGAAGAAAAAAAUGACGGUACCUGACUAAGAAGCCCCGGCUAACUACGUGCCAGCCGCCGCGGUAAUACGUAGGGGGCAAGCGUUAUCCGUAUUUACGGGGUGGAAGGGGAGCGUAGACGGCGAUGCAAGUCUGGAGUGAAAGGCGGGGGACCAACCCCCGGACGGCUUUGGAAACUGGGUGGCUGGAGUGCAGGGGGGGUAGGUGGAAGGCCUGGUGUAGCGGUGAAAGGCGUAGAUAUGAGGAGGAACACCAGUGGCGAAGGCGGCGUACUGGACUGUAACUGACGUUGAGGCUCGAAAGCGUGGGGAGCAAACAGGAUUAGAUACCCCAGUAGUC
rnacentral:rRNA from 1 species